UAGUAAGGUGGCGGACGGGUGAGUAACACGUAAAGACUUGCCCUGCAGUCUGGGACAACUAUUGGAAACGAUAGCUAAUACCGGAUAUUGCUGCAUGGCGAAAGCUGUAUGCGCUGCAGGAGAGCUUUGCGUCCCAUUAGUUAGUUGGUGAGGUAACGGCUCACCAAGACCGCGAUGGGUAGCCGGCCUGAGAGGGUGAACGGCCACAAGGGGACUGAGACACGGCCCUUACUCCUACGGGAGGCAGCAGUGGGGAAUAUUGGACAAUGGACCAAAGUCUGAU
rnacentral:rRNA from 1 species